rnacentral:lncRNA from 1 species
GACGGGCGUCUGAUAGCAGAUCCAUCAGAUCCUCAGAAACUGAUUGAUCCUGUUAUUUCUGUCUCAUCUGAUCGUCUCGUCACUUCUUACUGUGUGGAUGAACUUUCUUCAUGAGAUCCGCUGCGAUGCUUCAGGUAGUAAUGAUUUCUCUCUCAGCACCAUCAUUCAUCUGUUUUCAUAUUUAAUACUUCAUGAUGAUGUUCUAAUGAAUCUCUCUUUGAUCACAGUUCAGACUGGAGACCGUGUUCAGAGGUGAGAGAAACAGUGUGUGUCCUGAUUGAGAUCAAACUCUGUGUUGAACUGAAUGUUGUGUGAAUCUUCAAGUGAAUCAUGAUGAUUGUGAAUCUGUUUUUCAGUGAGGAAUGAAACUCCAGUGACUCCAGGUGAGUUUUAGCUGAUAAACGUCUGAUUAUUCACUAAUAAAACACUGCAGAUCUGAUUCACACUCAAUCCAUUUUCACUCUUUUCUCUCACAUUGACUCAUAUUUGUGAUCAGAUGUUCUGAAUGAAGUGACUCCAGAUCUGCAGCUCUCAGGUGAACCUCUGUGCUUUUGCUUUCUAAUAUUCAUCAUCUUUAUUGAUUUGAUGGGUUCAUGUAUUCAGUCAUUCACUUGAGUUUAUUGUCUCUCACAUGUUCAGAUCAGUGGUGGUGGACUUCUGCUCUUCUCAUCUGCAUUGUUCUUCUGGUUUUGAUCUGUUUCUUGCUGCGUAAACGAAUCUUCAGAUGUUUUCAGAGGGAAGAGCCGUCCAUCUCUCAGCGUGAAGCUCCAGACAGCAGGGAUCUGGAGAAGCUCAGAUCUGAUGAUCCUCAAACUCCACAGGAAUCGGUUCAGUGAAUCAACAUCACAGUUGUUGGGAUAGAGCUACGGCUGAAACCCUAAAGCCACAAAAUGAUGCUAUAGUUAGGCACGUGCACAUUAAAGGGGGCUUGAGCACCUGCCCUUUUUCUUCCUCCAGAAAAAGUGGUUUACUGUUACCCAGUCACCCCCCAAUCUCUCUGUCCCACCACCACCACUAAAAAUAAAAAAUAAAACUUUUUAUUGCUGUUGGUUUAUUAGUAAUUUAAAUAGUAAUUAAUACAGUGCACUCUAAAACUGGUCAACAGAUUCUUUUUCAAGUAGUCUACAGCAUGACUUCCAGGGUGUUCCAGUCCAUCAUUAUUACAGUUCUUUAUCAUUUCAACAAGUUUCUUUGGAAUUAUAUUCAUUGUGAAAAGUGCUUAAUUUAAUGUUUUAUUUUAUGCUUUUAUACACUGAUUGUAUUAUUUAGGAAGGGAAUUCUACUUCCUGCAAGUGGAUUUUUCAGCAUGUAGGCAGGGCUGGACUGGGGUUCAGAUUCGGCCCUGGACGUAUCCAGCCCACGAGUUCCCCCACGAAUGUUCUGCUGGGUUAUAGGGCCUUCAAGUGCAGUAAAUAAGUGAAUAAAUGAAUCAGGACAGAAACAAAUAAUGAUAGAUAUUACUGAAAUUCAAAGCAAAUGCUUUUUUGUCAGAUAGAAAUGCACUUGACAGUAAAGCAAUGAUUUUGAGAUAGAAUGCCAAAAAAAAAAAAAUAGGCCUACUUCUAAUAGAUUCUGUCAUCCUUUCCUCACCCUCGAGUGAUUGCAAACCUGUAUGACUUACUUUCUUCUGUGGAACACAAAAGAAGAUAUUUUGUAGAAUGUUACCAAACUAUUUUGCUUAUACCUUUGAUUUCUACUGUAUGGACAAAAAUGUCUUGUGUUUCUCAAAUUAUCUUCUUUUUUUGUUCCACAGUAGAAAGAAAUCACAGGUUUGGAAUGACAUGAUGUUGUGUAAAUGGUUAUUUUCAGUUUUGGUUGAAAUAUCCCUUUAAGAACUUUAACAUUUGUAAAUAAUACACACCUAAUUUAUAAAAGACACUGAUAUUUAUAUUUAAUCAGGCUCUUACUGAAUCAACAUUUUACUUCCAGUGUUGAGGAAUGUUACUUUUCAAAGUAAUGCAUUACAAUACAGGUGCUGGUCAUAUAAUUAGAAUAUCAUCAAAAAGUUGAUUUAUUUCACUAAUUCCAUUCAAAAAGUUAAACUUGUAUAUUAUGUUCAUUCAUUACACACAGACUGAUAUAUUUCAAAUGUUUAUUUCUUUUAAUUUUGAUGAUUAUAACUGACAACUAAGGAAAAUCCCAAAUUCAGUAUUAAAUUGAAGGAUUAUGUUGGUUGGAAAGCGCAAUGUGUGCCGCAAAGUGUAAAUGUAGAAUCACAACCCAACUAUUUCAGUCAAGUACUUGAAAUGAUGCAACAGCAGAUGAGAGUGCAACAAACUCAAGGGGAACUGUUGUUUAGCCUUCUGGGUCAGACAAUUAAUUAAGUAUCUGAUGAGGACAUCAGAGUUUUGAGCAGGGGAGGAUGUAACUUUGAGCAGGGGAGGAUGUAACCCACUCAUAUAAUUGAGUUGAUAGAUUGAUGAAUAUUUGUCAAUAUUUCUGAGAGAAUUUAUUUUUUUAUGUAUGUAUUUUAUUUUUCUUGUUUAAUGCAUAACAUGUUCAGGCAUGUAAAGUAUAAUUAUUUUUGUAUAAUUGUAUUUAAUUUUGUUGCGAAACAGAAUUAAUUAUUUAACAUAGUGUGUCGAUGGUUGGCUGACGUCACUUGCGCGCCAGCUCGUGGUGAGAGAGAUCCGAGCCGCAUUUCGGCUGCUGCUUAAUCUUUUCCAUCCUCGCCAUCUCUUCUGUAAAUGAAUGUCUGAACUGUUUUGUUGCACUAGUGAUCAUUGGCUGCCGUGUGUGCUUGAUGAGAUCGGACUGAUUCAUCGCGUCGAGGUCGUUUGGAUUCGCGCCAGAACGGGAGAAACAGGUUGGAUUUCACUACGGAUGGAUUGUGCAAUCAGAGGACUCGUUCGUAAGGAAGGAAAAGUUUUUUCUUCAUCGUUCAUUCCGGCAAGGAUUCUGUAGGCACUCAUACACACACAUUGACUGAACUGAGCUAAAACAUUUCCUACUUCAUUCAGGACUUUGGUAUUCAUCUACAUUUUUUGUUGUUGUUGUUGUUGUUUUCAUAGUAUUAUUAUUAUCUGUAUUUUUUUAUCUUCAAACUUAUUUGUUGACUGACAGCUUUACUGUUCAGUGACUGAAUUGUGAUCAACUAAAGAUUUUUUGUUUUGUUUUAGAAAAGGUUUUCAAGCAUACUGCAGUGCAGUAUAAUAAGAAAAAGAGAAAGUUAUUGAAUACAAAAAGUGCAAACUGACUUCUGUGUAUGUGCCUUAUUCAAGCAGUUAGUGACUAAAUUGAGAUCUGAAUUGAAUGCAAGUGCAGACACAUUUUAUAAACACAUUUUUUUAUUCUCUGUUAAUUGUGAGAUCCCGAACCCGAGACUCCAAAUUACUGUAAUAGAAAUUUAUACAUAUUUGGUGACCUCAGACCCAGUAGAUAUUUUUCCUCCUUUUCAUUGAUAUAAAUCUGACGUGCAGGUUACAUAGUAUUAAUAUAUGAAUUGACAUAUAUUUAGUUGUGUUGAGUGUGGUCACAGAAUGAGUAAACACUGGGAUAACAGUGAGCUUGUACAAUACAAAUCCAACUGCAGUUCUUUCUGACAUUAAUGACACUAAAAUGUUGCAAUGACAAAAUAUUGCACUACACUAAAAGUUCAAAUGUUACAUAUAAGUUACAAUAUUGAUGUUGUAAUACUCGUAGCACUAAUAUAACAAAUUGAUGAUCCAUUUUAACAAAAAAGGUAACAAAUGUGUUGAUGGUUGUAUUUUUUUGUCUUUUAUCUCAAUAUUGCUAUCAGUGUUGUGUAGGGUUUUUAAUGCAUUCCUCAUGUCUGGGGAAAAAAUUGGGAUUAAACGGGUUUAAAAAAUGCUACUUCUAAUGUAGCUUCUGUGUUUCUCUGCAUUGCAACGAUUAAUUUAGUCAAAACUGAUUUAAUUUGCUUGGUAACAGCCCAAAUGACUUUUUAUUCUAAUUGACUGAUUCACUUCAAGAAUUUGACUGAAAAGAUGAUGCACACUUUUAGGAAAAGGGGCUUUAUAAAGGUAAAAUGCCCAUAAAAUCAAUUUAAACGUAUUGGACAAGAUUAAUUUCUGUCACUGCUGUGAACUGAGCAUCACACAGAAUAUGAAGAAGAUAUAUCAAACACUUCAGGAGUCAGCAGUCCUUAAGAUAACAUCUGAUUAUCGUUAGCAAUAAAAUCCCAGAAAUGAUAAAAAAAAAUUUAUCAUCCAAAAUAUAUUUAACAUUUUGUUUAGAAAUUGUUUUUUAAAUAAAUAUGAGAAGUGUUGUUUUUUGCCCUCAACACUAAGCACAAAGUGGAUGUCCAGACCACAAUCAUCUUUAUCUCAGCUUUCAAAUCCUGUCAGUUUUAUGACGAGGUUCAGUCAAUAAAUGUGUUUUUGAUUGUGGAGACAGAUCGCUGUAGUGAAGUGAUUAUAAUCCAUCAAUCAGAGCUCCACCACAGACAGAUAACUAAUAAAACCACCUGAGAUCAACGACACGUAACACACCUGAACACAGUCAGCUAGAAGAAUAACUCAUCAUUUAAUGUAUGCCUUGAAUGAAUCUGUCAUUUAUUUAUCUUAUGGUUUAUCUGGAGUCAGGUAUGUGGAUAUUUAUGAUGUAUUUAGUGUGGGCUCUGUGCUGAAGUGCUUGAGAAUUGCUUCUGAAACUGAUCAAAGUUCAGAUCUGUCUUAUUGUAAGCUCCAGGAUUAAAGCGUCUCCUGAAUAUGAAGCCCCUGGUGAUGUUUGAUGUUGUUUAUUCACCGGUGUCCUGUGACUAGUAUUAGAACACACACCAGAAGAUGUUUAGAGAGGGGUUCUCAGAGGAGAUCCAGGUCUGAAGGGUGUUCACAGAGCUCUCUGCAGUCCACUGAUGUUUCCCGCGCGUCCGGCAGCUGGCGCCAAAUCCGCGUUCAAACCCUCCCGGUGACGUUUGCUCUUCCGCUUCCGCGAGUAACGGAACAGAAGCAGCAGAGGCUCUGUCAG